UACGUAGGGGGCUAGCGUUGUCCGGAAUCAUUGGGCGUAAAGCGCGUGUAGGCGGUCCGGUAAGUCCGCUGUGAAAGUCGGGGGCUCAACCCUCGGAUGCCGGUGGAUACUGUCGGGCUUGAGUACGGAAGAGGCGAGUGGAAUUCCUGGUGUAGCGGUGAAAUGCGUAGAUAUUGGGAGGAACACCAGUGGCGAAGGCGGCUCACUGGACCGGUACUGACGCUGAUGCGCGAAAGCGUGGGGAGCAAACGGG
rnacentral:rRNA from 1 species